UGAAAAGAACCGCUGCGACAGCUGCAGAGGCAGAUCCAGAAGUCCUUUAAUUUAAAGUCUGUGGGCAUAGACACCCGAUCAAAUUUGCCAGCAAGGGCUUGAGAAAGAACAAGACGUACAGAGACAGGUGAUACAGACCCAUAUAUUGAAACCAUUUAACAUCCCAAGCAGCUUGAAAUCUGGUCAGCGCUGAUGAACAAUGGGGAAGAAGAAUAAUGACUAUCCCCACUUCAAAGAGUUUGUAGAUGUGCUCCUACCGGCCACUGGAUGUCACUAUUGGUCUUUGCUAAGUAAUUCUGUAAAAGUUUCAGAAGAUCUUAAUAUGGUAGAAGAACAAAGAUUAUUCCUGGUUUCCUGACUACAGUUGCAGCAGUUAACAACAAAUCACAGCACUAAUUAUUGACAAAAGAAACAUGUUUACAUCCUUUUUGAAAUCCAAAGAUGUUGACUUCUCAACCUCCUCUGACAGGACAUUUUGGAACUUAAGGAAGAAUACCCUACAUUUUUUUCUGCCUGAAGCAAAGGAAAAGACGAUUCUCUCUCUCUCUCUCUCUCUCUCCUUGUACAGAAUCUGAACAAAAUGGCUGUUUAAUCUUUCUUUGAUAACUCAGGUAGAAUGGUGGCGGGACUGCUGCUGUUUUGUAUCAGCUGCCGCCUGAGGCAGACGCCCCACUCUGCCUAAUGUUAGGGCUAUUCCUACUAAGGAAGCUGUGCAGUGAAGCCCUGGUAAUAGCAGCCACAAUCUAAACUGACACACGGAAGAAACAACAAACAGUACCUGUUGAUCUGACCUCAGUAGAUUGUCAAUGACGGCUACAUGGCCACUUUAAUCCAUAGAAACAGUUGCCCUCAGUGCUCUGACAAUAGUUUUUCCAGUUUUGUUACCCAUCACUGCACUUUUUGACAAUUCUAAUAGAUCUUUUCUGGAAAGGGAUGCUCAGAACUAUUAACUCAAUAUUAAUAUUUCAUAUACAAAAAUGAAAUAAAGCUGAAACAUUUUGUUUUCUUUGCCAUGUUAAACAGGUUUCUAAGCCAUGCUUUUAAUAUUUUUUAAAUAUAUAUAUUUUUACUAGAAUUUUCAAUACAGAAAGAAAUGACAUAUACAGCAACAUGCCAUCAAAAUUAAAUAAGUACAUCAAGACAAGAUAAAGCAUAUAUAUAAGGUAUAACAAGAAAAUGUAUAAAUAAAGGAAAAUGGAGCUUAAAUAUACUUGUAAAAAUGAAACCAAGAAAAUCAUUUCAUUUAAGAAAAUGGAAGAAGGGGGGUUUUUCAGUAAAAAUGUUUCAGUAUGCUAUGGUGAAUAAACAAAAAAUAGCUGAAUUAAGGGCAUGUUAUGUAAUCAGACAAGAAAAGGACUAUGGUAGAAGCAUGUGCUAAGGGAGGGCUCCCAUCAUUCUUUUUACUUGAUGUAUACUUGGAGGUCACAACCAUUCUGCACAGAAUGUAUCUUUGUUGGAUUUUAACUUUGUCAAUUUUUCCGUCCAUGCCAAACUUGGGCAUAGCUCAGUCAAGUUUCCAUUAGUCUGCUUCCAAUUAUGAGCCACCACAAUGCAUGUUGCUGCAAAGAAAGAGCUUAACAGGUCUUUUUUUAAUAA